UAAGGUGCCAGUAUGGGUAAUGUCCCCCCUAAUAUCAGUAAUAGCUCACAAAAACUUCUAUAUCACUAUAGAAUGUGCGAAAGUUGGAGACUAUUCAACUGUUUCUGUUUACCUCAAACUCCCCUUGACUGAUCUCGGUAGAACCAGGAUGAGAAGGUACUGGCACCUGAUCUGGUCCUUCAUGUAUCUCUAAAUCACAGUAACGGGAGUGUUAUAAGAUACUUUUCAUCCACAGGUAUCUCUAAAUCACAGUAACGGGAGUGUUAUAAGAUACUUUUCAUCCACAGGUAUCUCUAAAUCACAGUAACAGGAGUGUUAUAAGAUACUUUUCAUCCACAGGUAUCUCUAAAUCACAGUAACGGGAGUGUUAUAAGACACUUUUCAUCCACAG
ensembl:lncRNA